rnacentral:rRNA from 1 species
CAGUCGCCACGGUAAUACGUAGGGUGCGAGCGUUAAUUGGAAUUACUGGGCGUAAAGCGGGCGCAGACGGUUACUUAAGCAGGAUGUGAAAUCCCCGGGCUUAACCUGGGAACUGCAUUUGUGACUGGCGGGCUAGAGUAUGGCAGAGGGGGGUAGAAUUCCACGUGUAGCAGUGAAAUGCGUAGAGAUGUGGAGGAAUACCGAUGGCGAAGGCAGCCCCCUGGGCCAAUACUGACGCUCAUGCACGAAAGCGUGGGGAGCGAACAGGAUUAGAUACCCCAGUAGUCCCUGUCUCUUAUAC